AAAAAUGUUUCAUGAAACUCGAAAGAAAGCUAAUGAAACACUAGAAAAUGGGGAUCAAGAUAAAUAUGAUGAAAUUGUUCAAGUCAAACAAGCAAACCCUUCACUUUCUGACAUUGAGAUAGUUGAGAAAAUCUGGGGGAAGCAAUCUCAUGGUCACAUCACUGUAUUUGGUGGCGGGACUACUUUGAAAGAUUUGAGAGGACCGCUCCUUAGUCGAUCUGAUCUGGAAGCACGAGUUAUAGAAGAAAA